UACAGAGACUGCAAGCGUUAUUCGGAUUCACUGGGCGUAAAGGGUGCGCAGGCGGCCGUGUGUGUCAGGUGUGAAAGCCCGGGGCUUAACCCCGGAAUUGCGCCUGAAACUACAUGGCUAGAGCAUUGGAGAGGGUAGCGGAAUUCACGGUGUAGCAGUGAAAUGCGUAGAUAUCGUGAGGAACACCGGUGGCGAAGGCGGCGUCCUGGACCAACACUGACACUGAGGAGCGAAAGCCAGGGGAGCAAACGGG
rnacentral:rRNA from 1 species